CGCUGGCGGCACGCCUAAUACAUGCAAGUCGAACGGGGUAGCAAUACCUAGUGGCAGACGGGUGAGUAACAUGUGGGUAUCUUCCCUUUGGUGAGGAAUAACACGAGGAAACUUGUGCUAAUACCUCAUAAGUCUUUACGGAGAAAGCUUUAUGCGCCAAUGGAUGAGCCUGCACUUGAUUAGUUAGUUGGUGGGGUAAAAGCCUACCAAGACUUUGAUCAAUAGCUGAUUUGAGAGGAUGAUCAGCCACAUUGGGACUGAGACACGGCCCAAACUCCUACGGGAGGCAGCAGUAGGGAAUCUUGCACAAUGGAGGAAACUCUGAUGCAGCGAUGCCGCGUGAGUGAAGAAGGCCUUUGGGUUGUAAAGCUCUUUCGUCGGGGAAGAAAAUGACUGUACCCGAAUAAGAAGGUCCGGCUAACUUCGUGCCAGCAGCCGCGGUAAUACGAAGGGACCUAGCGUAGUUCGGAAUUACUGGGCUUAAAGAGUUCGUAGGUGGUUAAAAAAGUUGGUGGUGAAAUCCCAGAGCUUAACUCUGGAACUGCCAUCAAAACUUUUUAGCUAGAGUAUGAUAGAGGAAAGCAGAAUUUCUAGUGUAGAGGUGAAAUUCGUAGAUAUUAGAAAGAAUACCGAUUGCGAAGGCAGCUUUCUGGAUCAUUACUGACACUGAGGAACGAAAGCAUGGGUAGCGAAGAGGAUUAGAUACCCUCGUAGUCCAUGCCGUAAACGAUGUGUGUUAGAUGUUGGAAAUUUUUUUUCAGUAUCGCAGCGAAAGCGUUAAACACACCGCCUGGGGAGUACGACCGC
rnacentral:rRNA from 1 species